UCUAUGUAUAGUUAUGUUUUUUUAAUAUAGACAUUAGGUAGAUAGAUGAAAUUACUAAUUUUUUAUUGCCGUUAAAGAAUUUUGAAAAUUAUUUAGAUAUUGAUAUCUAUGUAUAAAGUUAAUUUUGUCUUUCCCUAAAAUUUGGUCGAUAUUUUUUUUUUGUUUUACCAUAUUGCAACUUACAAUAAUAUAUAUAGAAAUUGGCACCACAUAUUAAUUCAUUACUGUAAUUUUUUUUGCUUUUCGAUUAAAUAUCAAAUACUUAUUAUAGAUUGCCUAAUAUAUGCCCAAAGGGAACAAUGGAUUUCAUUAAUGGAAAUCAACACAAUUAAACAGAACAUAUUUGUUUGUUCAGAUCACAUCCUUAGAAGUGAUUUCUUAUAUAAGGAAGAUAAUAUUAUCAGUAGCCAGACUUAAACAGAUUAAAAAAAUCAGCUCUACCUCAAAGGUAAUUUUUUUUUAAAUAUAUUUUUCUAGUAUAAAAAAAUCGUCACAAAAAGGAUUAGUGUUACUCAUUUAUACCUAAUACUUAUUAAAUUAGGUAUGUAUGUAAAACUAUUUUUUUACUAGGAUUUCUGAUGCACUGGUUAAAAACACAGCAGCUGAUAAUUCAGUUAAUUUACCAAGUGAUUUACCCUUCAAAGCUGCAGGGGUAGCUUUUCUGAAGAGUGCAAAAUCUUCUUUAGCUUCCAAAAUGGUAUAUAGUACAAACAGUGAAGCUGAUAUAGACAAAUCUGAUCAUUCAUCAUCAACAAUAACUGCAUCUGAGAUUAAUAGUUCUACAGUAACCGUGGAGUCUAGGUCAACAAUUACUAUUUCUCAUCCAAGCCGUUUUUGUUUAACUGCUACAUAUUCCCUGACUCUGCCAAGGAAAAGGGUAAAAUCAAAAUGAUAUCCUGAGGACCUAAGCACUGAUGAUUCCACCGUUUCAAAAGCUAAAUCACUUGUUACCAAAUUAUGGAAAAAAAAUAAAGAGCAAAAAAUUAAAAUUCGAAGAUUGCAAUAAACAAAUUUGCCCCAAAGAAAUUGAAUUAGAUGUCUCAAGUUAUUAUUAAAAUACUUAAGAAAUAAUAACAUGAUUUUCGAAAAAG